AUAAUACUCCCUCUGUCUGGAAUUACUUGUCAUCAAAAUGGAUGUGUCUAGAACUAAAAUACAUCUAGAUAAAUCCAUUUCAAUGACAAGUAUUUUCGGACGGAGGGAGUAGUAG
rnacentral:pre_miRNA from 1 species